AAGACAGUCAUUAACACAACGUAUAUUCCUGAACUCUACAGAAACACAAGAAAUCCGUGGCACCGCAUGCCCUGAACUACCAAAGAAGACCCAAGAAGACUCAGGCUUUUGAGUGGUUUACUCAGUCCCUCUCCAUGUCUUUGGGCUUACAGGAAGAGCAGACAAUGGUCCUUUUUAUACUGUCCCGGAAUAAUGUACUCGCUUUAUCCCACUCUAACCAACCACUUUACAAAGAGGUGCCAUGCCGUUUGGCCAUCAGUCUAGGGACAUCAAGUAAGGGUUCCCAGUGCUCCGGUGGCUCGGCGUAUCCCAGGCCUGAUUGCUGGUAACGCAGUGUCUUAAUUAGAGACAAGCAAAUAGCAGCAUCUGCUGCUCAGCAAGGAAAAGUAAUUGUCUAACUCCUCGAAAUCUGAGGUCAAGACUACAACAAACGGCCUUCUCCAAAUUCAAAAUAUCCACGUCCCCCUUAGCCACUUGCAGACCACCCAUGCUGGACCCUUUUUAUCGUCGUAUCUUCAAAUGCUUCAGCUAAUAUCUGGCCCAAGGUCUGAGAUGAGACAACAGACUGUACUUAAGUGGCUGCAUUGCUAGCACCUAAAAAAGACUCCCAGAUCCUCACACUGGAGCACUGUGUUUUUAUGUACGUAUAUGUGUAUGUAUGUACUAUGCACGAAUGUUUGUACAUAUGUAUGCUUUUAGAGUGUGUGUGUGUGUGUGAGAGAGAGAGAGAGAGAGAGAGAGAGAGAGAGAGAGGGAGAGGGAGAGAGCAUACACACAUGUAUAACUUGGGGGAGUUGGUUCUCUCCUUCAGCCUGAGGUUCUGAGCAUCAAACUUAGAUCAUCAGACUUGAGGGCAAGUGUCUUCACCCACUCAGCCCUCUCACUGGCCUGUUUCAAGCUGGAAUUAGGAGAUACCCACUGUCCCUCUGUCCACCAGCUCAGUCAGUCCCUCAUGAUCAACUUGAUUUGUCCUGAUACGCUGUUACCCCACAAUCAACCAGUCUAUCAAUACGUCUAACUCUUAAGUGAAAUUUAAUUUUUUUUUUCCUUAUGUGGCUAAACACUGACUGGAAGGAGCCAGGAGAAAGGAAAUACUCAGAAGCCGUUCGAUGCUAUCAUCCACC
rnacentral:lncRNA from 1 species